UACGGAGGGUGCAAGCGUUAUCCGGAUUUACUGGGUUUAAAGGGUGCGUAGGUGGGUCUGUAAGUCAGUGGUGAAAUCUCCGAGCUUAACUCGGAAACUGCCAUUGAUACUAUAGGUCUUGAAUUAUCUGGAGGUAAGCGGAAUAUGUCAUGUAGCGGUGAAAUGCUUAGAUAUGACAUAGAACACCCAUUGCGAAGGCAGCUCGCUAAAGUAUGAUUGACGCUGAGGCACGAAAGCGUGGGGAGCAAACAGG
rnacentral:rRNA from 1 species